GUGCAUUCUCCAAAUACUCUAUUGUAGUUUACUGGACCAAUAAGGUAUUGCUCUUACUGGACGUCUGGGGAGUACAGUUUAGAAUUGAUAGCGUUAGGAAUUGAUACCAUAAAGUUUUUUUAAAUCUGAAAUCUAAAUUGCAUUAAAUUAAUUUUUAUUCUUUCAGAAUGCAGUGUCCAAUCUGCCACGAAAGUUUUGCACAUAAAAUGGGGAAAGGUAAAAAGUUCUGAACGAUAUUAGGCGUUCAAACGGACUGGGAAUAGAUUGAGUUUUGUUAUAUAGAUUGACAAUUAUGUUGCACUAAUUAAAAUGCAUUAAAAAUAUUAUAAAACGACGUGAAUCAUACUUUAUCAUAUAUUCUAUCAUAUAUCUAGAUUUCGUAAUUAGGUGCAUUUACCACGCAAUAGUUCAAAAGUAUGGAUCUAGUGUAUAGUAUUUACCAACAAGCUGCCUUUGUUUAUUAUAGUUUGUAUCAAAAUAUUGAAUUAUACAGUAAUAUCUAUAGUUCAUUGUGUCGGAACUAUCCGAAGCUCUUCAUCACCAGGCUUGUACUCUUGUAGCACAGAGAAGUGAUACACAGAGAGGCAGGGAUGCCGGAAGUUGCUGAGGGCAAGG